rnacentral:lncRNA from 1 species
UAUAAAACUAUACAAUAUGAACUAUCAUAUAAAUGUUCCUUGAGGUAUUUUUCUUCAUGGGCUGGACUGGCCGAGGUAUCUUAGACUCUUAGUUUAAUGAAGUUUGGACAGAACAUACCAUCUUUUCCUGGUAAAUCUUCCUAGAGCAUACAUAGAUAUUUUUCCUUAUUCCAGAGACCUUUGAACUGCAUUGAAAAUUAGGGUCAUCUGCCACAAAGAAAAAAAAAGUUCAAUGAUGUUCAGAUGAAUGCUUCUCAAAGGUUUUAAAAGCUAAGUGUUGGGAAAGGGGCAGUUUCAAUGAUGUCUUACUCCUCUUUUCUUACAAAAAUCUACCUGGCUGAGCUGCUGAGAAAUUUCUAACAAAACAACCAAGUUUGUAGGAAAAACUUCAAGAUCCACUCACUCUGCAAUGUCAAAUCAGUUGCAGUAAUGCUUUUUACAGUUAUACAAAUGCCUCAAAAUACUGAAUGAGUAAGUUUCUUCCAAAUUCCCAGUUCCUAGGAUGCCUGGGUGGCUCGGCGGUUGAGCGCCUGCCUUCAGCUCAUGGGAUCGAGUCUCGCAUUGGGCUCCCUGCGUGAAGUCUGCUUCUCCUCCCUCUGUCUGUCUCUGCCUCUCUGUGUCUCUCAUGAAUAAAUAAAAAUCUUAAAAAAAAAUUCCUAGUUUCAGGCUUAAGAUUUUUCAAUAUCCAAAACACAUCCAAAAUUCCUUUUUGAUCCAUCCUCCUUGUUGAUUUUUUUUUUUUAAGAUUUUAUGUAUUUAUUCAUGAGAGACACACAGAGAGGCAGAGGGAGAAGAGAGAGAAGCAGGCUCCAUGCAGGGAGUCUGAUGUGGGACUUGAUCCCAGGUCUCCAGGAUAACACCCUGGGCUGAAGGCAGUGGCGCUAAACUGCUGAGCCACUCGGGCUGCCCGAUUGCUUUUAAUUUUUGCCUUUAAAAUUUUUACUUUUUAUAAAAAAGUUUAAAAAUACUUUAGGGAUGCAACCAUUUAUUUGAUCUGUUGGCUAAAGUCAGGGAGAUGCUUUGUGAUGAAUUUGGGUGGAAGAAAACUAAUCAGGAUGCUGCUACUUUAAGAAUUGGGAGACAGCUGAAAGCAUUACCCAAAUCCAGCUGUUAGCAAUAUUUUAAAUGCCAUUAUUUCUUGACCUCUGGAACAGAGUGAAAACGAAAGCUUCAGAAGUGGCUCUUCAAAAGACAUUAGCUCCUAGCUAAAGGAGGCUGUUUUGGAUUCCUGCCAAGUUAAAGAUAAGGCAGCAAUUUCAUUUGCGGUCACAUGCAAUGCGAUUCCUCCUACCUGCCUGCGUAGUCCGUAUUUAAAAAUUUUCUCCCUUACUAAAGUCUGCUUUCCAAAACUUUAUAGUUGUAUCAGUGUUAGAUGUCUCAAACAAGAAUAGGCCCCUGGAUCUUAGUUAACUUUCCUGGAAAAUUCUUCAAUGCUUCCGUAUUAGCAUUUGUAGCUUCCUCCUGAUGUUAUGCUAACAAGUUUUCAUUCUAUCAUAUAAAAACAAUAACUGUUCAGUGUGCAGUGCUCCUAUCUAAUGAAAUCCCUAUUCUAUAGUGUCCAUGCACAGAGGUCCUGGCUCAGGCCUUCUUUCCUCUUACCCUGUCAGUACAAUGGCUUUGAAACCAGUCUAAAUGUAAUUCCCUGGAUCUACUUACUGCUCUACCACCAGCAUCUCCCCAAGCUAUGUAACUGUCCUUUGAGCUAUCACUCUUCUUGUAGAAUCCCUUCAACAUAGCACUUAUCACAUUUUAUUGUCAUUUUUAGGUUUACAUGGGUCUCAUCUAUUUUAUCCUGAAACUAAGGGGCAAAGACUGUUUAUCACAGAUCUUGGUUCUACCAGUUAGCACAUAGAAGUCACUCAACCUAAGUAUCCUGUGAAUAUGAGCCCAACCCUCCUAUCAGCUUUUAGAUGGCUUAAAAAUUCCUUCUUAGAAGACCAGAUUUUUUUCCUAAUCUAAUAUUUUUAAAAAAAAUUUUUUUAAAUCUAAUAUUCUUAAAUAUGUGAAAAAUCUACUGCCAAGUAUCAACUUGAAAAACACCUGUUUUUCUUUGAAGCUAGAGCACUAGAAAAAUGCACCUUAAUGACUUUGAAUGACCUUAACGUACACCAAUUAUACUUUUUAUAAUUUUG